rnacentral:rRNA from 1 species
GACGAACGCUGGCGGCGUGCUUAACACAUGCAAGUCGAACGGAAAGGCCCUGCUUUUGUGGGGUGCCCGAGUGGCGAACGGGUGUGUAACACGUGAGUAACCUGCCCUUGAUUUUGGGAUAACUUCAGGAAACUGGGGCUAAUACCGGAUAGGAGCUCCUGCUGCAUGGUGGGGGUUGGAAAGUUUCGGCGGUUGGGGAUGGACUCGCGGCUUAUCAGCUUGUUGGUGGGGUAGUGGCUUACCAAGGCUUUGACGGGUAGCCGGCCUGAGAGGGUGACCGGCCACAUUGGGACUGAGGUACGGCCCAGACGCCUACGGGGGGCAGCAGUGGAGAAUAUUACACAAUGAGCGGAAGCCUGAUGAGGCAGCGCCGCGUGCGGGAUGACGGCCUUCGGGUUGUAAACCGCUUUCGCCUGUGACGAAGCGUGAUUGACGGUAAUGGGUAAAGAAGCACCGGCUAACUACGUG